GUAGGUGGCAAGCGUUGUCCGGAAUUAUUGGGCGUAAAGCGCGCGCAGGCGGUCCUUUAAGUCUGAUGUGAAAGCCCACGGCUCAACCGUGGAGGGUCAUUGGAAACUGGGGGACUUGAGUACAGAAGAGGAAAGCGGAAUUCCAAGUGUAGCGGUGAAAUGCGUAGAGAUUUGGAGGAACACCAGUGGCGAAGGCGGCUUUCUGGUCUGUAACUGACGCUGAGGCGCGAAAGCGUGGGGAGCAAACAGGAUUAGAUACCCUGGUAGUCCACGCCGUAAACGAUGAGUGCUAAGUGUUAGGGGGUGUCCCGCCCCUUAGUGCUGCAGCUAACGCAUUAAGCACUCCGCCUGGGGAGUACGGCCGCAAGGCUG
rnacentral:rRNA from 1 species